UUGUGAACAGGGUGGACGUUGUCUCACAAACAUAAGUUGCUGGGGAGUUUGCAUGGCAACUUUGAGUUUGCUCAGUUGAAAGGUGUGACCUCUAGGGCAAAAUGCCUCAUCUUUAAAAUGUGGCCCAAGUAUAUACAGGAGUGGCGUUUGUUGCUAUCGUUUAACAUUAGAGGCGGGCUAGCAUCAUGUGCAUCUUUUUAAGAUACUAAGUGAAAUUUUAGGGAGAUAUUGUGUGUUAUUUCUACCCGGUAGUGUGAUUAUGUAUAGAUCAUUUCUUGUGAAUUCCUGGGACAGCCCCACCUCCAAUGUUAAAUCACUGCCAUAGACUGAAUUCGAAACACGAAUCUAUUAUUUUGCCCUUAUCAACCCUAAUAUGUAUUAAACAUUUAUCAUUACAAGCAGACGAACUGAGGGUGGUGGAUUGGCAGACUCAACGGAGCAUCGAGCAAAAAUUUUUCGAGGUAUGUUUUUUUUUUAUUUAUAUUUUGAGUUCAAAUUACCGUGGGAUCAUCUUUACUUUUGUUUCCUCCGGGAUCAGUAAAGUAAGGUUUUUUUCCUCCGGUGUCAGUAAAGUGAGGGUCGAUUUAAGCGAAUAAGCCCUCGUACAAUAUUUCAGCUACUGUCAAGGAUGGUACAUUUGUAGGAUCUUAUAGUGUGUCCCACUUGAGUUCAAAUUCUGCCGGAAUCAUCAUUGACUGUCAUACUUGUCUGCUUGAUAGAAAAAAGUACCUGUCAAGUACUGAGGUCAACAUUAUUAACUAUGCAGCUCCACCCAAAUGAAUUUAAGGCUUCAUGCCUAUAUUAGAAAGUAUUAGUAUUUCUUUUGAGUAAAUGAACAGACAUUUGUCUUUUUAAAGCACACUCACUUCCAAACGAUUUUUCUAAUGGCUUUAAGAUAGUUGUUCUAGUUGGUGAAUUUAUAAAAUUAUUUCCUCUGUUAAUGCUUAUUGGUUGUGGUUAUGUGCCAUCGAAAGUAAAAGUCUGUUCCUCCCUACCCCUAAAAAUCUUCGCCUCUUUGUUCAUAAUGUAUAUUCUUUCAAUUUUUUAUUGGUUCCAGUCAGAUGGAACUGCUUCUAUAAUCUCCCAGGAAACGUAAUUUAUUUAUAAUAUGUUUAAUUUAUAUUCAUUUUGUUUUUUCCUAAAAUGCAUGAAAACAUCACUGUAUUUCACAGAACUAUUUUGAUCUGUGCCCUAUAUUUCAAUAUAUUUUCUUUGUCAUUAAGUUUCGGUUUAGCACAUCAAACUCUACAAAGACUCAUAUAAGGAAAAAGCAGUUGAAUUUUGUAAGGUUGGUGCCCGUUUCGAAGCCAUUUGUCAUACGUAAAGUGAAAUGAAUUGAAUGAGAAUCAGACUGGCGGAUCUAAGACAAUUCUCCGUAAUGCAUUUCGCCGUAGGACAAUUGGCUGUAGGACUAUUUGCAAUAAAAAAAAUAAUAAUGAAGGUCAUACACUUUAUCUAAAAACAUGAAAGUCAUACACUUUAUUUAAAAAGUUAAGCUAAAAAAAUCAAAAAGUUAAAAAUCAUGUAAGUUCAUUACAAUUGCACGCAAAUAAUGUUCUUUAUUUUGAUCGUAACCUCUGACAAUGCUUAGUAUGCUCUUAUAAAUAUCUUUGUAUUUUUUCUUGAUUGCUGUUUCUCCUCUUACUGUAUCGUUCACCUAUUUUUUAGAAAGUGGUUUUCUCAAGACAUUGAAAAAUGAUCUUUCUCACAUUUAAACGACCUUUCUGUUUUUAAAUUAUCAUUUUAUCAAUUAUCGAAAAUAACUACUGUAAAUACUGUUCCUUUAUCUACCUUAUUUAAUUAAGAACGCAAUUUCAAGUUUUUGAGCUUUACGGCAAAAUGUCCUUGCAGUAAAAUAUCCAUAUGACGAAUAGUCCCACAGCGAUUUUGUUUACGGCAAAUUGUCCGGUCAUCCAGACUGGUAACCUGUCUAUUCCAGACCUCAACUUUUUCAGUUAUAGUAAUGUUGUCAGUUUCUUCAUUCUAAUUCCUUAAAACUACUUAUCCAACAAGCAGGUCCUACACACACACUCACACUCUCUUAUUCACAUAAUACAAAGGUAGGUGCAUUUAUAAUCACUAAUUACACUCAUACAUAUUAUGCGUUUAUGGAUGUUGUAACACUCACGUAUAUACAGUUAUUUAUUCUUUUACUUGUUUCAGCCAUGGGGCUGCUGCUGUUCUGGGACACCAUCUCGAAGACUUUAGUCAACCAAGUCGCCCCUGUGCUAUAUAUGUGUGUAUAUAUUUUUUUUUAUUAUUUAGCAAUGUGAGAAGACAGAGUUGUUGUUUAGCAUCAGUCAGCCAUUUUACUUAUUUUGUUCCCUAUCAAAUUCACUGGGAGGGCAUUAAUUAGUAGAGAACACCUACCCAUAGUACCACGCAGUGGGACUGAAUUAUAGAGCUGGAGUCGUAUGUUUCAGGAGAAAAACUAUUUUAAAAGAAUUAUUUCCAUAUAUACACUCUCACGAUGCUAUCCGUUGUUUUAUUGUGGGCCAUAUCCUGAAGAGACGAAUGUCCAUUCUGACUCACGUACAAAUUAGUUUUAAUGUUGCCACAUUGUGGAAAAUGAAGGCUGUAUCACUUUAAAGGUAAGUGCUAAGUGUUGCACUAUAUUUUUCAUGCGAAAAAAAAAAUCAACGCUUAAAUAUUGGAAUUUUCUUUUUAAAAUUUGAAUCUAUAAGAAAGGAAUAAAAGUUGUACUUUGAUUCUAAA
rnacentral:lncRNA from 1 species